GACGAACGCUGGCGGCGUGCUUAACACAUGCAAGUCGAGCGGGAUCCAACCGGUGGCAACACCGGGGAAGAUCUAGCGGCGAACGGGUGAGUAACACGUGAGCAACCUGCCCCGAAGACUGGGAUAACACCGGGAAACCGGUGCUAAUACCGGAUGUCGUCAUUAGGCCGCAUGACCUGAUGAUGAAAGGAUUCAUCGCUUCGGGAGGGGCUCGCGGGCUAUCAGCUGUUGGUGGGGUAACGGCCUACCAAGGCGACGACGGCUAGCUGGUCUGAGAGGACGACCAGCCACACUGGGACUGAGACAC
rnacentral:rRNA from 1 species